AAUUUAAUUAGCUCAGAGAAGGGAGUAGUGUCCAUAGCAUUCUUGCAUUCAACCAUAAAUGUACAAACAUACUGUAUGUACUAAAUCCUCAUGUAUAAUUACUGCCAUCCUGUCUUAGAGUAUUGUCUUGUUACUCCCAUUAACCGGGCUCACUGCAUAUUCACUAAAACCCAAGUAGCCAUUUUGAAUUCAACAACAAAUCUGUGAAAAAAUGUCUACCAAGGUUUUUGUAAACAUGAAUUCCAGAAUUGUAAAAAUGACCAAAUUGUACCAAAUAAAUAAAUACAUAAAAUGCAUACUUUUAAAAAAUGCACAUAUGAUAAUAUGUGUCAUCAUAUGCUAAAGGCAGGCCUAUUAGAACUUCACAGGGGAUUGUUUUUUUGUUCUGUGUGUAUACAAAUCCCACCAUAUGGACACUAUUUCACAAAGUCUUCCAGAACCUAGAAAUGCUCAUGUUGCUUUACACCCCACAAUAUGUUUUGGCGUUUGACAAAAUAAAGGGUUUUCUUUAGGUAAUACAUGGAAACUAGUAAAUCAAUUGCUGUUGUAUUUCUUGCAAUGGCCAUGCAAUAGUACAUGUAGCCGUGUUGUCGAGUGUCAUCAUGAUGUAAAGGAGACUGGGUACAAUAAGAAAAAAUGACUUCAAAGCACUUUUUUUCUUUGUUCCAGAUGGUAGUGUUCACCCAUCAAAUGCAUGUUGUUUUAAGCUGUCUACAGGUAAAAGGAACAUUUUAUUUGAAUAAUCUACAUUGAAUAUUUGCACAUGUGAAUUAAUGUUCCUUUUUUGCAUGUGAACAUCUAUUGUUCAUUGUUGGUUUAUUUCAGGAAUGACAUUUUACAAAUGGCUGUGAUUACAGUUUUUCCAUAUCUAAAGUGGCAAUGUACUUUUGACCGUUGAGUAAAACAUUUCCAUUAUUUGUAGUGUUUAUUACUCGCUGUUCACAAAGAAUUUAUUUUAGUGUGAAAGGCUUAAAGUCACAAUCAGUUUCAGAAGAAAAGAAUAAAACAGUUUAUUUUAAA